UACGUAGGCAGCGAGCGUUGUUCGGAGUUACUGGGCGUAAAGGGUGUGUAGGCGGUUGUUUAAGUUUGGUGUGAAAUCUCCCGGCUCAACUGGGAGGGUGCGCCGAAUACUGAAUGACUAGAGUGCGGGAGAGGAGAGUGGAAUUCCUGGUGUAGCGGUGAAAUGCGUGGAUAUCAGGAGGAACACCGGUGGUGUAGACGGCUCUCUGGACCGUAACUGACGCUGAGACACGAAAGCGUGGGUAGCAAACAGG
rnacentral:rRNA from 1 species